CUCUCUCUCACACACACACACACACACACACACACACACACACACAGAGAACCAGUCACCACCAAAUCUCACCUCACUGAAGUCAGUCACCACUGUUGCUCACCGUAAGUCGCACAUCGCCACCGCCACAGCCGCAAAUCACACCACCACCACCGCAAUACAAACAGUUUGUGGCUAGAGCGAGUGCGUCAUUUCUUCAGCCUAAAGCCAGACAACCGGUCAUGAAUUUUAUUGUUACAACUUAAGAAUUGCUGCUUAUAAGGCUAUAUAUCCAAGCGUGGGGACUCUCACAGAUGCGGUUGCUGCAAUUGAUCAAGUAAAGAACUUUUCUUAUCCAUCCAUAUAUGUUAUGGUCUUGUUUGAUAUUGGGAUAUAUAGAGAGGAAUAUAUUUUUUUGAUUGGAUAUAGGGGAUAAAGAAAAACAUAUGGAUCUCACAUUUUUUAUAUCAUUUGUUUGGUUAUCCGAUAUGAAUCUGAUGAUGAUGUAUUAUAUCCUCCAAAAGUAAAUGAUAUGUAAUACUAACUCCCUAUGAUAUUACUGAUCCCGUACCAAAA